rnacentral:rRNA from 1 species
UCGUACAGGGUUUCCGUAGGUGAAC